UACGUAGGGGGCAAGCGUUGUCCGGAAUUAUUGGGCGUAAAGAGCUCGUAGGCGGUCUGUCGCGUCUGCUGUGAAAACUCAGGGCUUAACCCUGAGCUUGCAGUGGGUACGGGCAGACUAGAGUGCGGUAGGGGAGACUGGAAUUCCUGGUGUAGCGGUGAAAUGCGCAGAUAUCAGGAGGAACACCGGUGGCGAAGGCGGGUCUCUGGGCCGUAAC
rnacentral:rRNA from 1 species